rnacentral:rRNA from 1 species
UACGUAGGUGGCAAGCGUUAUCCGGAAUUAUUGGGCGUAAAGAGCGCGCAGGUGGUUGAUUAAGUCUGAUGUGAAAGCCCACGGCUUAACCGUGGAGGGUCAUUGGAAACUGGUCGACUUGAGUGCAGAAGAGGGAAGUGGAAUUCCAUGUGUAGCGGUGAAAUGCGUAGAGAUAUGGAGGAACACCGGUGGCGAAGGCGGCUUCCUGGUCUGUAACUGACACUGAGGCGCGAAAGCGUGGGGAGCAAACAGGAUUAGAUACCCU